rnacentral:rRNA from 1 species
CCUACGGGAGGCAGCAGUGGGGAAUAUUGGACAAUGGGCGCAAGCCUGAUCCAGCAAUGCCGCGUGAGUGAUGAAGGCCUUAGGGUCGUAAAGCUCUUUUACCAGGGAUGAUAAUGACAGUACCUGGAGAAUAAGCUCCGGCUAACUCCGUGCCAGCAGCCGCGGUAAUACGGAGGGAGCUAGCGUUGUUCGGAAUUACUGGGCGUAAAGCGUACGUAGGCGGUUAUUCAAGUCAGAGGUGAAAGCCCGGGGCUCAACCCCGGGAACGGCCUUUGAAACUAGGUAGCUAGAAUCUUGGAGAGGUCAGUGGAAUUCCGAGUGUAGAGGUGAAAUUCGUAGAUAUUCGGAAGAACACCAGUGGCGAAGGCGACUGACUGGACAAGUAUGACGCUGAGGUACGAAAGCGUGGGGAGCAAACAGGAUUAGAUACCCUGGUAGUCCACGCCGUAAACGAUGAUAACUAGCUGUCCGGGCACUUGGUGCCUGGGUGGCGCAGCUACGACAUUAGUUAUACCGCCGUGGGUAGGUACGGUCGCGAGAACUUAAACGUUAAAGGUAAGUUAGUACGGCGUGAGACGAGACCGAACGACGACGACGAGGGAGGUAGG